rnacentral:rRNA from 1 species
AUUGAACGCUGGCGGCAGGCCUAACACAUGCAAGUCGAACGAGUGGCGGACGGGUUAGUAAUGUCUGGGAAACUGCCUGGUGGAGGGGGACAACUACUGGAAACGGUAGCUACUAACGCACACCAUCAGAUGUGCCCAGUUGGGAGUAGCUAGUUGGUGGGGUAACGGCUCACCAAGGCGACGAUCCCUAGCUGGGCUGAGAGGAUGACCAGCCACACUGGAACUGAGACACGGUCCAGACUCCUACGGGAGGCAGCAGUGGGGAAUAUUGCACAAUGGGCGCAAGCCUGAUACAGCCAUGCCGCGUGUGUGAAGAAGGCCUUCGGGUUGUAAAGCACUUUCAGUGGGGAGGCGUUACCCACAGAAGAAGCACCGGCUAACUCCGUGCCAGCCGCCGCGGUAAUAC